UACGUAGGUGGCGAGCGUUGUCCGGAUUUACUGGGCGUAAAGGGAGCGUAGGCGGACUUUUAAGUGAGAUGUGAAAUACUCGGGCUCAACUUGAGUGCUGCAUUUCAAACUGGAAGUCUAGAGUGCAGGAGAGGUGAAUGGAAUUCCUAGUGUAGCAGUGAAAUGCGUAGAGAUUAGGAAGAACACCAGUGGCGAAGGCGAUUCUCUGGACUGUAACUGACGCUGAGGCUCGAAAGCGUGGGGAGCAAACAGG
rnacentral:rRNA from 1 species